rnacentral:rRNA from 1 species
ACGUAGGGUGCGAGCGUUAAUCGGAAUUACUGGGCGUAAAGCGUGCGCAGGCGGUGAUGUAAGACCGAUGUGAAAUCCCCGGGCUUAACCUGGGAACUACAUUGGUGACUGCAUUGCUGGAGUAUGGCAGAGGGGGGUGGAAUUCCACGUGUAGCAGUGAAAUGCGUAGAGAUCGGGAGGAAGGCCGGUGGCGAAGGCGGCGCUCUGGAACAUUUCUGACGCUGAGGCUCGAAAGCGUGGGGAGCAAACAGGA